AUGAAAAGAGCUGUGUGUUGUUCAAUUGUGCAGCCUUAGCUAGCCAAAUUGCAGCAGAACAGAACCUGGAUAAUGAUGAAGGAUUGAAAAUCGCUGCUAAGCAUUACCAGUUUGCUAGUGGUGCCUUUUUACAUAUUAAAGAGACGGUUUUAUCUGCCUUAAGUCGAGAGCCGACCGUGGACAUAUCUCCAGAUACUGUUGGGACCCUCAGUCUUAUUAUGCUGGCACAGGCUCAAGAAGUAUUUUUUUUAAAAGCCACAAGAGAUAAAAUGAAAGAUGCCAUCAUAGCUAAAUUGGCUAAUCAGGCUGCAGAUUAUUUUGGUGAUGCUUUCAAACAGUGUCAAUACAAAGAUACUCUCCCCAAGGUCAGUUAUUGUUUUUAUAAACACUUGCUUACUUUGCAUGUGAAAUAUUUAGACUUUUUUGUGUAUAAGAAGCAAGUUGAAACUUAUAAAGAAAUUUGAAGUUUUAAUAGAGUUAUCCGAAGUAUAUAGUAGAAAUAGUUUUUUUUUUUUUUAAUUUAAGAUGCAUGAACAAUUCUUUUAUGUUUAGGGGAUGCCUUUGUCUUUACCUUUUACUAAACUUGUUUUUCCAAGCUAGAACUCUUUCUGGAAAAUGUUGACCAUCUGUUUUCAAUACUUUUAUCAAAUCAAGGCAUUGU
rnacentral:sRNA from 1 species